GUUUUCCUACGGGGGGCAGCAGUAGGGAAUCUUCCACAAUGGACGAAAGUCUGAUGGAGCAACGCCGCGUGAGUGAAGAAGGCCUUCGGGUUGUAAAAUUCUGUUAUAAGGGAAGAAAGGUGAUAGGAGGAAAUGACUAUCAAUUGACGGUACCUUAUGAGAAAGCCACGGCUAACUACGUGCCAGCAGCCGCGGUAAUACGUAGGUGGCAAGCGUUAUCCGGAAUUAUUGGGCGUAAAGAGCGCGCAGGCGGUUAAUUAAGUCUG
rnacentral:rRNA from 1 species